rfam:Triticum aestivum genome assembly, contig: Triticum_aestivum_CS42_TGACv1_scaffold_224200_3B
UGGGGUACCCUCCGACCCUUCUUAGUUCAACCAAAUGAACUAAAAUUUCAGAAGUGAUGAGUUCUGAAAACUUAGUUCAUUUGGUUGAACUAAGGAGGGUAGGAGGGUACCCUC